rnacentral:snRNA from 1 species
UAUGUUUACUAAAACAAA